rnacentral:lncRNA from 1 species
GUGAAUAAGUCUCAUGAGAUCUGAUGGUUUUAUCAGGGGUUUCCGCUUUUGCAUCUUCCUCAUUCUCUCUUUGCCUGCUGUUAUCCACAUAAGAUGUGACUUGCUUCUCCUUGCCUUCAGUCAUGAUUGUGAGGCUUCCCCAGCCACGUGGAACUGUCUGGAGGCAUAGGAAGAAAAAGUGGUUUCAUGGGCCAGGUCCAGCUUCCCUGAGCUGUGUGCAGCCAAGAG